AAGUCGUAACAAGGUUUCCGUAGGUGAACCUGCGGAAGGAUCAUUAACACGUAUCCACGUAUCAACCAACUGUGAACCUGUUCUCACCUCUCCCUGCCGGUUACAUGAAUUGGAAUAGCGUGUGCAUUUUUAUGAUGGGGCUCGCCCAAAUGCACUCACUGCCACCUGUCGCAGCAAGCGAUUGCUGUCGACUAACAAUUGUAGUAACAGUCAGGCCAACCUUCUGCUAUCGUCUCGUACCGUCAUAUCGAGCGAUAGUGGGAACACACAUACGAACCUAUUUCACCCCCCUUUUUGCUAGUUGACUUUUAUAUGUUGUCUCAGCGCGGUACGCUAGUACUCGCUGGAACACACGUUUAUUAUUUGAACGUUAAAAUUACAACUCUUAGCAAUGGAUAUCUUGGUUCUC
rnacentral:misc_RNA from 1 species